AGAGUUUGAUCCUGGCUCAGAACGAACGCUGGCGGCGUGCCUAACACAUGCAAGUCGAACGGAAUGAGGGGGCUUGCUCCUCAUUUAGUGGCGCACGGGUGGGUAACGCGUAGAUAAUCUGCCUGAUGAUCUGGGAUAACACUUCGAAAGAGGUGCUAAUACCGGAUAAGCCCACGGAUUCUUGGAUUCUGCGGGGAAAAGGGGGGGACCUUCGGGCCUUCUGUCAUCAGAUGAGUCUGCGUACCAUUAGCUAGUUGGUAGGGUAAUGGCCUACCAAGGCUACGAUGGUUAGCKGGUCUGAGAGGAUGAUCCGCCACACUGGAACUGGAACACGGACCAGACUCCUACGGGAGGCAGCAGUGAGGAAUAUUGCGCAAUGGGGGCAACCCUGACGCAGCGACGCCGCGUGGAUGAUGAAGGCCCUUGGGUCGUAAAAUCCUGUCAGAUGGAAAGAAAUGUACAGGUGUUAAUAUCGCCUGUAUUUGACGGUACCAUCAAAGGAAGCACCGGCUAACUCCGUGCCAGCCGCCGCGGUAAUA
rnacentral:rRNA from 1 species